CCACUGCACUCCAGCCUAGGUGACGGAGUGAGACUCCAACUCAAAAAAUAAAAUAAAAUAAAAUGGCACUGCUGUAUUUUGGAUGGAUCAAGCCUGCUUAGUCUAAAAGCCUAAAGUAGAGAAAAACAACUGGGGGCCUUCCAUAUAGAAAGUGGGGUCAGGAGGCCAAGAAAGGGAAUAUGAAUGUAUAUCCAAGUCACUCAGGAACUUUUAUGCAGGUGCAAGAAACUUAUGUCAAAGUGGCCACAAGAUUGUUUAAUAGGAGACGGACGAAUGUAACUCCAUGUUUACUGCUAGAAACCAAAGCUUUGUGUGAAAUCUUGAAUUUAUGGGGAGGGAGGGUAGGAAAGCCUGUACCUGUCUGUUCUUUUCCUGAUCCCUUAAUUCCUGAACUGCAGGAGACUGAGCCCCUUUGGGCUAUGGCAACCCCAUCACAGGGGUGUGUUUGAUGGUUGAUUUGCUGUAUUGGGUAUUUCCCAUUUUCUAAUCAUUUUGUAACACACAUGCUGACUCUUUCUCUUCCCUUCUUCUUUCCCUGGGAAAAAUAAAUAAAGACUUAUUGGUACU